UACGGAGGAUCCAAGCGUUAUCCGGAAUCAUUGGGUUUAAAGGGUCCGUAGGCGGUUUGGUAAGUCAGUGGUGAAAGCCCAUCGCUCAACGGUGGAACGGCCAUUGAUACUGCCAGACUUGAAUUAUUAGGAAGUAACUAGAAUAUGUAGUGUAGCGGUGAAAUGCUUAGAGAUUACAUGGAAUACCAAUUGCGAAGGCAGGUUACUACUAAUGAUUGACGCUGAUGGACGAAAGCGUGGGUAGCGAACAGG
rnacentral:rRNA from 1 species